UACGUAGGGUGCGAGCGUUAAUCGGAAUUACUGGGCGUAAAGCGUGCGCAGGCGGUUUUGUAAGCCGGAUGUGAAAUCCCCGGGCUUAACCUGGGAAUGGCAUUUGGGACUGCAAGGCUUGAGUUUGGCAGAGGAGACUGGAAUUCCUGGUGUAGCAGUGAAAUGCGUAGAUAUCAGGAGGAAUACCGAUGGCGAAGGCAGGUCUCUGGGCUAGAACUGACGCUCAUGCACGAAAGCGUGGGGAGCAAACAGG
rnacentral:rRNA from 1 species